ensembl:misc_RNA Metazoa_SRP Metazoan signal recognition particle RNA
GCCGGGCGUGUUGGCGCGCACCUGUAAUCCCAGCUACUCAGGAGGCUGAGGCAGGAGAAUCACUUGAACCCAGGAGGUGGAGGUUGCAGUGAGCAGAGAUCGCGCCACUGCACUCUAGCCUGGAUGACAGAGUGAGACUCUGUCUCAA